UGUCAAGUUAGUUUAUGAAAAACAUCAGCCUGUGGAUUUGAAAAUAAAAUAUUAAUUUUACUUGACC
rnacentral:tRNA from 1 species